rnacentral:rRNA from 1 species
UACGUAGGGGGCAAGCGUUGUCCGGAAUCAUUGGGCGUAAAGCGCGUGUAGGCGGCUCGAUAAGUCUGCUGUGAAAGUCCAAGGCUCAACCUUGGGAUGCCGGUGGAUACUGUCGAGCUCGAGUCCGGAAGAGGAGUGUGGAAUUCCUGGUGUAGCGGUGAAAUGCGCAGAUAUCAGGAGGAACACCGGUGGCGAAGGCGGGUCUCUGGGCCGUAACUGACGCUGAGGAGCGAAAGCAUGGGGAGCGAACAGG